UACGUAGGGGGCAAGCGUUGUCCGGAUUUAUUGGGCGUAAAGAGCUCGUAGGUGGUUCGGUAAGUCGGAUGUGAAAUCUCCAGGCUCAACCUGGAGGGGUCAUUCGAUACUGCCGUGACUAGAGUUCGGUAGAGGAGUGUGGAAUUCCUGGUGAGCGGUGAAAUGCGCAGAGAUCAGGAGGAACACCCGUAGCGAAGGCGGCACUCUGGGCCGAUACUGACACUGAGGAGCGAAAGCGUGGGGAGCGAACAGG
rnacentral:rRNA from 1 species